AUUGAACGCUGGCGGCAUGCCUUACACAUGCAAGUCGAACGGCAGCACGGGAGCAAUCCUGGUGGCGAGUGGCGAACGGGUGAGUAAUAUAUCGGAACGUGCCCAGUCGUGGGGGAUAACGUAGCGAAAGCUACGCUAAUACCGCAUACGAUCUAUGGAUGAAAGCGGGGGAUCGCAAGACCUCGCGCGAUUGGAGCGGCCGAUAUCAGAUUAGGUAGUUGGUGAGGUAAAGGCUCACCAAGCCGACGAUCUGUAGCUGGUCUGAGAGGACGACCAGCCACACUGGGACUGGA
rnacentral:rRNA from 1 species